GGGGAUGUGGCUCAGUGGUAGAGCGCUUGCCUAGGAAGCGCAAGGUCCUGGGUUCGGUCCCCAGCUCCG
rnacentral:tRNA from 1 species